rnacentral:rRNA from 1 species
CCUACGGGAGGCAGCAGCGAGGAAUCUUGGUCAAUGGGCGCAAGCCUGAACCAGCGACGCCGCGUGGAGGAUGAAGGCCCUCGGGUUGUAAACUCCUUUUGGGUGGGAAGAAGCUCUGACGGUACCACCCGAAUAAGCCCCGGCUAACUACGUGCCAGCAGCCGCGGUAAUACGUAGGGGGCGAGCGUUGUCCGGAUUUAUUGGGCGUAAAGCGCGCGCAGGCGGUUCGUUAAGUCCGUUGUGAAAGCUCCUGGCUCAACUGGGAGAGGUCUUCGGAUACUGGCGAACUCGAGGGAGGCAGAGGAAGGUGGAAUUCCGGGUGUAGUGGUGAAAUGCGUAGAGAUCCGGAGGAACACCAGUGGCGAAGGCGGCCUUCUGGGCCUUUCCUGACGCUGAGGCGCGAAAGCGUGGGGAGCGAACCGGAUUAGAUACCCUAGUAG